GUUAGGAAUAUUGGACAAUGGACGCAAGUCUGAUCCAGCCAUGCCGCGUGAGUGAUGAAGGCCUUCGGGUUGUAAAGCUCUUUAGCCGAUGAUUAUAAUGACUGUAGUCGGAAAAUAAGCCCCGGCUAACUUCGUGCCAGCAGCCGCGGUAAUACGAAGGGGGCGAGCGUUAUUCGGACUCACUGGGCGUAAAGCGUGCGUAGGCGGUUUUGUAAGCUGGGAGUGAAAGCCCAGGGCUCAACCCUGGAAUUACUCUCAAAACUACAAGACUUGAAUUCGGGAGAGGAUAGCGGAAUUGUCAGUGUAGCAGUGAAAUGCGUAGAUAUUGACAGGAAAACCAGUGGCGUAAGCGGCUAUCUGGACCGACAUUGACGCUGAGGCACGAAAGCGUGGGGAUCAAACAGGAUUAGAAACCCCAGUAGUCC
rnacentral:rRNA from 1 species